UACAGAGGGUGCUAGCGUUAAUCGGAAUUACUGGGCGUAAAGGGCGCGUAGGUGGAUAUAUAAGUGAGUUGUGAAAUCCCUGGGCUUAACCUAGGAAUUGCAACUUAGACUGUAUGUCUGGAGUGCAGUAGAGGGUGGUGGAAUUUCCGGUGUAGCGGUGAAAUGCGUAGAGAUCGGAAGGAACACCCGUGGCGAAGGCGGCCACCUGGACUGAGACUGACACUGAGGCGCGAGAGCGUGGGGAGCAAACAGG
rnacentral:rRNA from 1 species